CAUAUAUCGUGCUGUCAGGAUUCAAUCAACGUACAAAAUCAUUGAGAAGGCUACGACAGCAACCACAAGAUGAUGAUAUACGUAAGGAGGAGGAUUUUGUGCAAGAGGCAAAUGUGUUGAUGCAGAAGGAGCAUGUACAGGAUGAUAAUGACUUUGUAUAGGAGGAUGAAUGAUCAUAGCAUUUGGGCACAUGUUUCUAGCUCUUUAGUUUGGCCAUAGCUUAAGCUUUGGAUAUUGGAUUGACGCAUACGAGCAGGCGUUGGAAAGCUAAAAAUCAGAGCUACAACAUUUGUCUUGGAAGAAAAGACCAUUUCCGAACUUUACUGGGCCUAAAUUAAAGAUUGUGAAAUCUAGACUUUGUAAUAAUUUUAAAUAGCGGGCCAUUUAUUUAUAAACCCUAAAGCCCAAUAUUGAGUACUAAAUAUUGGCAGUUUUGUUUCUUUUCUACAUAACGAAAUAUUAGGAUUUAGAUUGCUACAA